rnacentral:ncRNA from 1 species
AGGCGCCGGAUGCUUGGAAACUUGCUUGUCCGGUUCUGUGGGGGGCUAGUUUGGAAUAUAUAAUGAAAUAAAUUUAUUAUUAAACUCAACUAUUCUAUCCCGAU